UACGUAGGGAGCAAGCGUUGUCCGGAAUCAUUGGGCGUAAAGCGCGCGUAGGUGGCUUCGUAAGUCCGUUGUGAAAGUCCAAGGCUCAACCUUUGAAAGCCGAUGGAUACUGUGAAGCUAGAGUACGGAAGAGGCGAGUGGAAUUCCUGGUGUAGCGGUGAAAUGCGCAGAUAUCAGGAGGAACACCAAUUGCGAAGGCAGCGCGCUGGGACGUGACUGACGCUGAGACGCGAAAGCGUGGGGAGCAAACAGG
rnacentral:rRNA from 1 species